rnacentral:rRNA from 1 species
CCUACGGGCGGCUGCAGUGGGGAAUAUUGGACAAUGGGGGGAACCCUGAUCCAGCCAUGCCGCGUGUGUGAAGAAGGCCCUCGGGUUGUAAAGCACUUUCAGUGAGGAAGAACGCCUGGUGGUUAAUACCCAUCAGGAAAGACAUCACUCACAGAAGAAGCACCGGCUAACUCCGUGCCAGCAGCCGCGGUAAUACGGAGGGUGCGAGCGUUAAUCGGAAUUACUGGGCGUAAAGCGCGCGUAGGUGGCUUGAUAAGCCGGUUGUGAAAGCCCCGGGCUCAACCUGGGAACGGCAUCCGGAACUGUCAAGCUAGAGUGCAGGAGAGGAAGGUAGAAUUCCCGGUGUAGCGGUGAAAUGCGUAGAGAUCGGGAGGAAUACCAGUGGCGAAGGUGGCCUUCUGGACUGACACUGACACUGAGGUGCGAAAGCGUGGGUAGCAAACAGGAUUAGAUACCCGAGUAGUC